rnacentral:rRNA from 1 species
GGAAUCUUUCACAAUGGGCGAAAGCCUGAUGGAGCAACGCCGCGUGCAGGAUGAAGGCCUUCGGGUUGUAAACUGCUUUUAAAACUGAGGAAUAUGACGGUAAGUUUUGAAUAAGGAUCGGCUAACUACGUGCCAGCAGCCGCGGUCAUACGUAGGAUCCGAGCAUUAUCCGGAGUGACUGGGUGUAAAGAGUUGCGUAGGUGGCAUGGUAAGUAGAUAGUGAAAUCUGGUGGCUCAACCAUUCAGACUAUUAUCUAAACUGCCAAGCUCGAGACCGUUAGGGGUAACUGGAAUUUCUAGUGUAGGAGUGAAAUCCGUAGAUAUUAGAAGGAACACCGAUAGCGUAGGCAGGUUACUGGGACGGUUCUGACACUAAGGCACGAAAGCGUAGGGAGCAAACG